GAAGACGAUGACGUUGAUAGGCCGGGUGUGUAAGCGCAGCGAUGCGUUGAGCUAACCGGUACUAAUGAACCGUGAGGCUUAACCUUACAACGCCGAAG
rnacentral:rRNA from 1 species